AUUGAACGCUGGCGGCAGGCCUAACACAUGCAAGUCGAGCGGAUGAAGGGAGCUUGCUCCUGAAUUCAGCGGCGGACGGGUGAGUAAUGCCUAGGAAUCUGCCUGGUAGUGGGGGAUAACGUCCGGAAACGGGCGCUAAUACCGCAUACGUCCUGAGGGAGAAAGUGGGGGAUCUUCGGACCUCACGCCAUCAGAUGAGCCUAGGUCGGAUUAGCUAGUUGGUGGGGUAAAGGCCUACCAAGGCGACGAUCCGUAACUGGUCUGAGAGGAUGAUCAGUCACACUGGAACUGAGACACGGUCCAGACUCCUACGGGAGGCAGCAGUGGGGAAUAUUGGACAAUGGGCGAAAGCCUGAUCCAGCCAUGCCGCGUGUGUGAAGAAGGUCUUCGGAUUGUAAAGCACUUUAAGUUGGGAGGAAGGGCAGUAAGUUAAUACCUUGCUGUUUUGACGUUACCAACAGAAUAAGCACCGGCUAACUUCGUG
rnacentral:rRNA from 1 species